rnacentral:rRNA from 1 species
UACGUAGGGCGCAAGCGUUAUCCGGAAUUAUUGGGCGUAAAGAGCUCGUAGGCGGUUUGUCGCGUCUGCCGUGAAAGUCCGGGGCUCAACUCCGGAUCUGCGGUGGGUACGGGCAGACUAGAGUGUGGUAGGGGAGACUGGAAUUCCUGGUGUAGCGGUGAAAUGCGCAGAUAUCAGGAGGAACACCGAUGGCGAAGGCAGGUCUCUGGGCCACUACUGACGCUGAGAAGCGAAAGCAUGGGGAGCGAACAGG